rnacentral:rRNA from 1 species
UACGAAGGGGGCUAGCGUUGCUCGGAUUGACUGGGCGUAAAGGGUGCGUAGGCGGGCGAUCAAGUCAGGGGUGAAAAUCCUCCAGCUCAACUGGAGAACUGCCUUUGAUACUGGUCAUCUCGAGUAAGGUAGGGGCGUGCGGAACUGAUGGUGGAGCGGUGAAAUGUGUUGAUAUCAUCAGGAACUCCGGUGGCGAAAGCGGCGCGCUGGACCUUAACUGACGCUGAUGCACGAAAGCCAGGGGAGCAAACGGG